rnacentral:rRNA from 1 species
UAUCUAAUCCGUAAACGAUGAUAACUAGAUGUCGGGGGGUUGCCUCUCGGUGUCGCAGCUAACGCAUUAAGUUAUCCGCCUGGGAAGUACGGUCGCAAGAUUAAAACUCAAAUGAAUUGACGGGGACCCGCACAAGCAGUGGAGCAUGUGGUUUAAUUCGAAGAUACGCGCAGAACCUUACCAACACUUGACAUGUUCGUCGCGAGACUAAGAGAUUAGUCUUUUCAGUUCGGCUGGACGAAACACAGGUGCUGCAUGACUGUCGUCAGCUCGUGUCGUGAGAUGUUGGGUUAAGUCCCGCAACGAGCGCAACCCCUACUUUUAGUUGCCACCAUUUAGUUGGGCACUUUAAAAGACUGCCAGUGAUAAGCUGGGAGGAAGGGUGGGGAUGACGUCAAGUCCUCAUGGCCCUUAUGUGUUGGGGCUACACACGUGCUACAAUGGUACUUAC